rnacentral:rRNA from 1 species
GAUGAACGCUAGCUACAGGCUUAACACAUGCAAGUCGAGGGGAAACGACAUCGAAAGCUUGCUUUUGAUGGGCGUCGACCGGCGCACGGGUGAGUAACGCGUAUCCAACCUGCCCAUCACUUGGGAAUAACCUUGCGAAAGUAAGACUAAUACCCAAUGAUAUCCCACGAAGGCAUCGGAAUGGGAUUAAAGAUUUAUCGGUGAUGGAUGGGGAUGCGUCUGAUUAGCUUGUUGGCGGGGUAACGGCCCACCAAGGCAACGAUCAGUAGGGGUUCUGAGAGGAAGGUCCCCCACAUUGGAACUGAGACACGGUCCAAACUCCUACGGGAGGCAGCAGUGAGGAAUAUUGGUCAAUGGGCGAGAGCCUGAACCAGCCAAGUAGCGUGCAGGAAGACGGCCCUAUGGGUUGUAAACUGCCUUUAUAAGGGAAUAAAGUGGGUCACGUGUGACUUUUUGCAUGUACCUUAUGAAUAAGGACCGGCUAAUUCCGUG